UAAAGCCAUGUCUUUAUUUAAACACAAAGUAGUAGUGCUAUAGCCUGGACACUCAACCUGUUGUGGGAAAUGUGUGGGAUUGAUGUCCACAUGGAUCCUAACACUGGCAAAAGGCUUAAUGCCCUGGUAAAUACCCUUACAAUACUCACAGGAGAGGAGUACAUAGAUGACAUUGCUGACUUAAAUUCAGUGAACAUAGCUGACCUGCUGAGGAUGAAGUUGACACUAUGUCUCCCACUAUCCAUACUAAUUCAGAUGGAAGUUCAGUGAGUGGAGAUGGCCACAAGCUCACCUUUGGGCAGUGACUUGUAAACCACCUGCUAGGGCUGAGGCCCCCAAAUCAACGCUGCUCUGCUCCUACAGAGUAUCUGUGUGGCUCAGAGAUAUGGGGUAACCCUCAGGCUAGCCAGUCCCAUUUGAAAGUAUACAGAGCACACUCACGGGGAAAUGGGGAAACGUAGGUAGCAACUAAUUAGAUUCUGUAUGACAAUGAAGGGAUUUGAAUCAAUGGAGAAUUCCAAUCAUCUUACUUAACAUAGAUGGCUUUGACUCUUGCAUAUUCUUUUUUUUUUUUGAUUUAAGGUGUUAAUUUUGUAGAUUAGAUUUAUUGUGUGAAUUGACAAUGGUAUUAACAGAUAUGAUUUCUGAUUUUUCAGGAAGCUGUAGAUUAUCGAAGACAAGGAGCAUCUUCUAGCCAGCCAGGAGAACUUAGAGGAAGAAAAAUUAUGAAACAUUUAGUAGAUAUCAGAGAACUAAAUGAACAGGCCAAAGUAAUAGAUGAUCUUAAAAAAUUAGGUGCAAGUGAAGGAACCAUAAACCAGGAAAUUCAAUGUUACCAACAGUUAGAAUCUGUGGCUGUGAAUUACAUUCGAAGAGAUGUUUGUAAAAAAUUACGGGGAUCCAGUAUGCGAGUGAGUAGAUGUUUAAGAAAAAUUUUAUUAGACAGUUUUUCACUUUUUACUUUUAAAACUUAUCUAUGAUAAUGCUUAUGUUUUUUUUCUUUUAAGGCCAGUGAUAAUACCACCUGAUUUGUACA
rnacentral:lncRNA from 1 species